rnacentral:rRNA from 1 species
ACUCUGGAAUAACCGUGGGAAACGACGGCUAAUACCGGAUAUGAGACGCACAGGCAUCUGUGUGUCUGGAAAGAUUUAUCGGUCAGGGAUGGACUCGCGGCCUAUCAGCUUGUUGGUGGGGUAAUGGCCUACCAAGGCGACGACGGGUAGCCGGCCUGAGAGGGCGACCGGCCACACUGGGACUGAGAUACGGCCCAGACUCCUACGGGAGGCAGCAGUGGGGAAUAUUGCACAAUGGGCGCAAGCCUGAUGCAGCGACGCCGCGUGAGGGAUGAAGGCCUUCGGGUUGUAAACCUCUUUCAGCAGGGAAGAAGCGAAAGUGACGGUACCUGCAGAAGAAGCGCCGGCUAACUACGUGCCAGCAGCCGCGGUAAUACGUAGGGCGCAAGCGUUGUCCGGAAUUAUUGGGCGUAAAGAGCUCGUAGGCGGUUUGUCGCGUCUGCUGUGAAAACCUGAGGCUCAACCUCGGGCUUGCAGUGGGUACGGGCAGACUAGAGUGCGGUAGGGGUGACUGGAAUUCCUGGUGUAGCGGUGGAAUGCGCAGAUAUCAGGAGGAACACCGAUGGCGAAGGCAGGUCACUGGGCCGCAACUGACGCUGAGGAGCGAAAGCAUGGGGAGCGAACAGGAUUAGAUACCCUGGUAGUCCAUGCCGUAAACGUUGGGCACUAGGUGUGGGGCUCAUUCCACGAGUUCCGUGCCGCAGCAAACGCAUUAAAGUGCCCCGGCCUGGGGGAGUACGGGCCGCAAGGCUAAAACUCAAAGAAAUUGACGGGGGGCCCGCACAAGCGGCGGAGCAUGCGGAUUAAUUCGAUGCAACGCGAAGAACCUUACCAAGGCUUGACAUACACCGGGAAAAGUGCAGAGAUGUGCUCCCCGCAAGGUCGGUGUACAGGUGGUGCAUGGUUGUCGUCAGCUCGUGUCGUGAGAUGUUGGGU